rnacentral:tRNA from 2 species
GCUCCAGUAGCUCAGUGGAUAGAGCAACCGCCUUCUAAGCGGUCGGUCGUAGGUUCGAGUCCUGCCUGGAGCG